AGUUGCUGUUAAUCAUGGCCAUCUGUUAAUGGAGCAGAAAACGAGAAACCAGACCGACCUAGAUUCCAGCUAUCAAAGAAUCAUAUAUCUGCCUUCGAACGAACUCAAGGCACAUUAUCGAUCUGCCUUUUCAUUAGAGUUCUGUAAAGAGUUAUUUCAAAGAGGGGCUUGAACACUCUCCAAGUAAAGAGGAACCAAUGAAGUUGGAGAAGCAAAUUAAACCAUAAUGCUCAAGUUUCCAAGGCGAUUGCUGCAGCUAAGUUGAUGAGAGAAGUUUGAAGAUUGGGAAGUCCGUAUCAAGAACUUAUGGAAUAUGAAGCCAACAUUGGAUAAACAAGAUAUUCUUCACUGGUCCGUUCUUUUGCUUUAUGCAGAAGUUGUCUAGUGGUUUUAUUGAAGACGCAGAAGUUGUCUUGUGGUUUUAUUGAAGACUCUAUGAGAUCAACACGUUCUCGAAUCACCUUGAAUGAUAUGAUAUCCUUUCUUAAGCUGCGUACUUUUUUCCCCUUUCAAGCAAUUAAAUGUCAUAAUUGGUAGUAGUAGGCUAGUAGCAUUUAAGUAAUUUAUGAUGUCCUUAGCUUCAAAUAUGUCUACAGAAAGUUCUCCGUUGUUACUGUGGGAUAGAGAACGUGCUUACACCCGUGAAGCUAUUAUUUGUAUCAUGAGGUUGAUUCUGGAUUUCCCUUACCAAAGAUGGAAUAUCUUCGGCAUCUCUAGAAGGCAGUGCCGGUUCUCUUGCCGAAAGCAUCAUUGAAGAAGAGAAAGAUGCAAGUGCGAGUUUAACUGAUAGCGCCUCAGCAGGUAAUGUACAUCCUUGUCUUUUGUUUGCUAUCUGUGGGAAGACGACAUAUUCAUACUUUUCCUAAACAUUCUUCUAGGAGGAAUGGAGGAAAAUAAAGUUGAAUUCUUAGACGGCUACACCUCUACGUUGAAAGUUCCACUGAGCUAUGUAGGACAGAUAGCCAAUAUUCCUCUCACGUAUUUCACAUAAUUAUUACAUUAUGUUUAAUUAGUUGAAUAAAGUACAAUCGAAGCGAAAUUUAUGUCUAUGGACUCUGGGUGAUAAUUAUAAAGUACGAAAAAUAUUUCUUAGUUUGGGUGAUGGUCAUUGUUGGUCCAUUAUGGUCCAUCAGGAUGAUCAUGAACUUGUUUAUGUCCUCUUACCCUUAAAAGUAAGUUUAUCAUGAAACAUGAUGCCAGAGUAAUCUAUGGACCUGCUAUAGUUUCCAAUCUGCGGGUUCGUUGUUACAUCAUAUAGCAAACUUUUGUAAAAUAUAUUCUCGCACUUGCAGCUAAUCUAGGUUACUUUCAGAAAGCUAACUUCACUAUUUUUAUUUCCUGGGAAAAGUAUCUGUUAGCUGGGUCAAGGUAAAUGAAAAGAAAAAGAAAACGCUUCAUGAUGUUCUGAGGCAGCCAGACUUUGUCGUUCCUGAAAUCCGUGGUGGGCUUUUAAUUCAUCUGCCAGUUAUCAUCUUUAUAACUUCAGUACAAUUCUUCAUUUUCCCCGCUUCUAUUAACUUCUCUUUCCUUUUUGUUUCCGCACGAAGUUUCUAUGUUGUGUCUAAAUGCUCCAGCUUCUAUGAAAAGUUCAAAGACGGCAAAUGGGCUCCACCAUAAUAAAUUUUCAUUACAAUGAGAAGAAAUGUAUCGUAAAUGUGUAUAGUUAUGGUUCAGGUUUGAUCACUGCUAGCUCCAUAAGUAUUCGAGUAAUUAAUAUUGUCGUAUAUGGGACGUGGAUGUUUGUUGAUUACUGGGUAUGCGGAAGUCUGCUGAUUACAUUUGCCUCUUUGAAGUACCAAGAGAUUUGCAUAUCCAAUAAUUCAAGCUUUGUCAAUAACCAGAACAUGCUAAAUUCUAGAUGUAUAGCGUAAACAUGAAUUAUUUAUUUUUGCAGGAAUACUACUUGACAUUUCAGUGAAUAUUCUGACUUUUUGAUCAGUAACGUUGACGUUUAUGGACUCGGUAGUUUGACAGUUUUUUAUGGAGAAGAACAGUUUGAUAUUAUUGUAUAUGUGCUCUCAAUCAUUGAGGCUUCAGAUGAGUACCAAUUUUUAUUUUUUUUAAUUCUAUUAUUAUUAUAUAGUUCAUUUCAGAUCCAACUGCAGGAGGCUCUCAAAGUUGUUGUCACCAUUAAAGGAGACCAAUAUCUUAUUAUCAGGUGCGUAGUGGGCAACAUAUUUGGUGGCGGCACUCCUCGAGUAAGCAUUGCCUCAGUAAUUCCCGACUCGCCUUAUAUGUAAGGCAAGUAGAUGCCUAGUCAGCAGAAUCUUGUAGCCGGAGGAGUUGAUCGCCUCGCAAGGUCCCAAUCGAUCGUCACCCGUCUAGGCAUUAUUUAUCAGCCUGUCAUUUGGCAUUGGUUACAAGUGUUUUACCCAUAUUAAAUUUUGAUAGUGAGCUGUUAUAUUCGUCACGAUUCACUCCUCCAGAAUCUGGAACUACUGGCUUCUGACUCCGAAAACGUGGAUUGAUUCCUGAAACAACAAAAUUUUAGAGACAGGAAGACAAAUUACCAGAUUCUCAACAAUUCCUCCCAACUACUACUACCUACUCUACUUUUGAUUUGGAAAAUGAGCCAAAACGGCAACUUUUAUUGCUAUACUAUUUAAUUUCGAAACGUGGUUACACUUUACAGUCUCCUUUCCUUGUUUCCGAGGAUCACAUUAAUUCCUUCGGACGGAAACGAACAGAGAAUAUCUCGGAUUACCAAAUACCUCGGC